AAGACCUUGCGCUUUUGGAGCGGCCGAUGUCUGAUUAGCUAGUUGGUAGGGUAAUGGCCUACCAAAGCUUCGAUCAGUAGCUGGUCUGAGAGGACGGCCAGCCACACUGGGACUGAGACACGGCCCAGACUCCUACGGGAGGCAGCAGUGGGGAAUUUUGGACAAUGGGCGCAAGCCUGAUCCAGCCAUGCCGCGUGAGUGAAGAAGGCCUUCGGGUUGUAAAGCUCUUUCAGCCGGGAAGAAAAGGUUGCGAUUAAUAAUCGCAAUUGAUGACGGUACCGGAAGAAGAAGCACCGGCUAACUACGUGCCAGCAGCCGCGGUAAUACGUAGGGUGCGAGCGUUAAUCGGAAUUACUGGGCGUAAAGGGUGCGCAGGCGGUUUUGUAAGUCAGAUGUGAAAUCCCCGGGCUUAACCUGGGAACU
rnacentral:rRNA from 1 species